rnacentral:rRNA from 1 species
UACAGUGGCGUACGGGUGAGUAACACGUGGAUCAUCUACCUCUUGAUGGGGAAUAACCCUGGGAAACCGGGGCUAAUACCGCAUAAGCCUGAAAAGGGAAAGCAGCAAUGCGUCGAGAGAGGAGUCCGCGGCCGAUUAGCUAGUUGGUAGGGUAAAAGCCUACCAAGGCAAUGAUCGGUAGCCGGCCUGAGAGGGCACACGGCCACACUGGCACUGAAACACGGGCCAG